CGUCCCUCCACGAAAAUUAUGAUUUGAACUGAAUUCCACUCGUUACGAGCCUAGACGGUUGGUUUCCUUCCCUUUCCUUUCCUUCCUUGUUUGUUCCUUCCACCUCGCCGCCGGCGUCCAUGGCGACGCCGUCGCACGGGCUCCCCUUCGCGCCUCUCCGCGCGCUGCUGAUCGCCCUCCCGCUCCUCUCCCUCCUCCUCCUCCUCCCCCACCACCUCCUCCCUUCGCGCCACACCCCGAGCCCGAGUACUCCGCCCCCCCUUACUCCUUCCCUCGCCGUCCACGCGCCGCUCCGGGCCGCAAUCCAUCGCGCGGCGAAGGCGGGCGGUCCUUCCUCGUCCCCGGCGACGAAGAAGACGACGCUGUCGCACGUGGUGUUCGGGGUGGCCUCGUCCCGCCGCACGCUGCCGCUGCGCCUCCCGCUGCUCCGCCUCUGGCUCCGGCCCCCGGCGCGGGCCUUCCUCUUCCUCGACGGGCCCCCCUCCGCCGCGCAUCCCUCGCCCCUCCCGCCCAACCUCCACCUCCGCGUCUCCCGCGACGCCUCCCGCUUCCCCUACUCCCACCCGCGGGGGCUCCCAUCCGCCGUCCGCGUCGCCCGCAUCGCCAGCGACCUCCUCCUCGACCUCAAGCAAGGGCAAGGGAACUCCCCGCCGCCGAGGUGGCUCGUGCUGGCCGACGACGACACCGCCUUCGUGCUCCCCAACCUCCUCCACACGCUCGCCAAGUACGACUGGCGCGAGCCCUGGUACCUGGGCGCCCGCUCCGAGUCUGCGGCGCAGAACACCUGGCACGGUUUCGCCAUGGCCUACGGCGGCGGCGGCGUCGCCGUCAGCUGGCCCCUCGCGGCCCGCCUCGCCCGCGUCCUCGACUCCUGCCUCCUCAGGUACCCGCACCUCUACGGCAGCGACGCCAGGAUCUACGCCUGCCUCGCCGAGCUCGGCGUCGAGCUCACACACGAGCCAGGCUUCCACCAGAUCGACCUUCAUGGGGAUAUAUCUGGACUCCUAAGGGCACAUCCACUUGCUCCCUUAGUUUCACUUCACCAUCUCGAUCAUGUCUAUCCUCUUUACCCUGGUAUGGAUCGUGCAAAGGCGGUGGAGCAUUUCUUCAGAGCUGCUAAUGCUGAUCCAGCAAGGAUACUUCAACAAACAGUGUGCUAUGACCAGUCAAGAUCACUUACCGCUUCAGUAGCAUGGGGCUACUCGGUUCAGGUUUUCAGAGGCAAUGUACUGCUUCCUGACCUCCUUGCUGUGCAGAAAACUUUUGUGCCAUGGAAAAGGGGUCGCAAUGUUACAGAUGUUUUUAUGUUUAACACCAAGCAUUAUCCAAGGGAUGAGUGCAAAAGAGCCGCUCUUUUCUUCCUAAAAAGUAUUUCUUCCGGUGAAGGAAAGACGGAAAGCAAUUACAGCAGGCAGCUGCCUAGAAAAUGCUUACCACGCUUGAUUCCAUUGAGGAAUCUACACCAAAUAAAAGUGACAUCAGACCUACUGCAUCUGGUUCCUGGGAAGGCUCUAAGGCGGCAUUGCUGUGACAUCAUACCUUCACCUGAAAUUACCAUGGACAUUAACAUCAGGAAAUGCAAAGAUAAUGAAUUGAUCGUGAUGCAUUCAUAGUCGUUCUUGAAUCAUACUGUAUAUCCAUCUAUUGUACAUGUCAUCCACCAGUACUGACAUACUUACACAUAGCAACUUAUGCUUUGUGUAUCAUCGAAUCAAGGCAUCGAGUUUUGCCGUGGAGUGCUGCAUCAGCUAGAAUCUCCUUUUGGACUGGAGAAUGGAGACCGUCGGGAUUGCUUCCUGCUACAUUACAUGCUGACAUUUGGAUUAUGAAAAGCAUAGGGACCAUUUGUGUGGCUACCUCUGCCUGCCGGACAAGGAAUGUGAGACACAAGAAAUUGAAGAAGUUGUUGCUUAGAUGCCCCACAGGAAUUUGCAGGAAACUGUUUCUUGAUUGGAGGGAGAAGAAAGUAGAGAAAGACACAUCAUGACUAGCACAUCCCACAGGAGUUUUAACAUGAGGUUGGACCUCUCAGAAUCCUCCGAAAUGUGAAGAAAAGGAAAGUUUCCUACUUCCAACAAAGGAAGUCUCAACUUUGACUAAAUUUGAAUGCAUCUAUACACUAAGUCAUGUCUACAUACAUCCAAAAUUUGAAAAACUUGAGACAUCUUUUGUUGGACGGAGGGAGUAUAAGAAUCCAUAGGUUCAUUCCUACAACCCAAAGAACCUCGUAGUAAAAUUCCUAUAAAAUUCUUGCAAAA